rnacentral:rRNA from 1 species
CCUACGGGAGGCAGCAGUGAGGAAUAUUGGUCAAUGGUCGGGAGACUGAACCAGCCAAGCCGCGUGAGGGAUGAAGGUCCAGCGUAUCGUAAACCUCUUUUGUCAGGGAACAAAGGCGGGGACGUGUCCCCGGAUGAGUGUACCUGAAGAAAAAGCAUCGGCUAACUCCGUGCCAGCAGCCGCGGUAAUCCGGAGGAUGCGAGCGUUGUCCGGAUUUAUGGGGUUUAAGGGGUGCGCAGGCGGUCUGUUAAGUCGGCGGUCAAAGCCCGGGGCUCAACCCCGGCCCGCCGUUGAAACUGGCAGUCUCGAGUUGGAGAGAAGUAUGCGGAAUGCGCGGUGUAGCGGUGAAAUGCAUAGAUAUCGCGCAGAACUCCGAUUGCGAAGGCAGCAUGCCGGGUCCACACUGACGCUGAGGCACGAAAGCGUGGGUAUCGAACAGGAUUAGAUACCCGUGUAGUC